UGGGGAAUAUUGGACAAUGGGCGAAAGCCUGAUCCAGCCAUGCCGCGUGUGUGAAGAAGGUCUUCGGAUUGUAAAGCACUUUAAGUUGGGAGGAAGGGCAGUAAGCGAAUACCUUGCUGUUUUGACGUUACCGACAGAAUAAGCACCGGCUAACUCUGUGCCAGCAGCCGCGGUAAUACAGAGGGUGCAAGCGUUAAUCGGAAUUACUGGGCGUAACGCGCGCGUAGGUGGUUCGUUAAGUUGAAUGUGAAAGCCCCGGGCUCAACCUGGGAACUGCAUCCAAAACUGGCGAGCUAGAGUAGGGCAGAGGGUGGUGGAAUUUCCUGUGUAGCGGUGAAAUGCGUAGAUAUAGGAAGGAACACCAGUGGCGAAGGCGACCACCUGGGCUCAUACUGACACUGAGGUGCGAAAGCGUGGGGAGCAAACAGG
rnacentral:rRNA from 1 species